UUGGACAUAGUACUACUGGAGGAUC
rnacentral:piRNA from 1 species